UGGAUUUUGCUGGGGCAGAGUAGCCCCACCUAAAGGGGGUCGCAUGAAAUCUUACCCUUUUCUUUGUCACAGAGUAUAAGAAUAAAACCUUUGAUGAUUGAAUGGAUUAUCCUCAGGAUAACAUCUGUGAUUCUUCAUGAGAGUUAUGUCUUCUUAAACCCUUGGAAGCUGUCAACACUACAGAUUUCCCAAAGCACCAAGCUGCAAACAGCAGAUUGCUCUUAAGCAAUGAUGCUGAAGCAUGAAGCACGAAUCAUGUUCCCAUAUCAGUUUCUUUCACUGCUCUGAACCCAGCACCUAGCACAGCUCCUGAUAGAGCUGUGUCAAACAUGAUAGAACUCCUGAUAGAGCUGAGUCAACAUGUCUGUUUAAUGAGUGAAUAGGAGUGGGCUAUCCCAAUGCAAAUUUCAAAGCUCUCAGCAAGACAAGGUUGAGACGAAUUACGAUGUGCAUGGAGAGAAGCCAUGGCCCAAGGAUGGGAAUUGCAGAUCUGGAGGCUGAAGCCCCGCAUUAGCAUCCCGGCUCUGCUCCCACUGGUUCUGUCACCCUGGGCAAAGCACUUCUCCCAAACUGCAGUUCCACCAACUGAGAAGCAGAGACAAUGACACCUGUUCCACUCACCUUGCAGGGUUGUUGUGAGAAGGAAAUAAAGUAUUUGAAAGCACUUUA